rnacentral:rRNA from 1 species
AUGUGAUCGUCUCUCGCAUAUCAAUAAGCGGAGGAAAAGAAACUAACAAGGAUUCCCCUAGUAACGGCGAGUGAAGCGGGAAGAGCUCAAAUUUGAAAUCUUAGAGGGUUUCCCUUUACGAAUUGUAGUUUAAAGAAGUGUUUUCUGUUGAGGUUUUGGUAAAAGUUCUUUGGAAUAGGACAUCAUAGAGGGUGAGAAUCCCGUAUUUGACCUUUACUUUCAACUUUGUGAUACACUUUCAAAGAGUCGGAUUGUUUGGGAAUGCAGUCCAAAAUGGGUGGUAAAUUUCAUCUAAAGCUAAAUAUUGGCGAGAGACCGAUAGCGAACAAGUACCGUGAGGGAAAGAUGAAAAGAACUUUGAAAAGAGAGUUAAACAGUACGUGAAAUUGUCAAAAGGGAAGCGUUUGACACCAGUGUUGUUUUUCUGAAAAUCAAUUAAAGAACUGUUUAUGCUAAGCUGUUUAGACUUUAUCAGCUAUCUGUUUAGUUUUGAGCUUUUCUUUAAUGCACUUUUCAGUUAACAAGUCAACAUCAAUUUCUUUUGCUGUAAAAAAGCUUGAGGAAGGUGGCUUGAGAUUCGUCUUAAGUGUUUAUAGCCUCUUGCCUAUGCAGUCGGAGAGAUUGAGGUCUGCAGCGUAGAUCCUUCGGGGCUAAAUGCAUUUGUGCUAAGUUAUAGCAUUUUAUAGACAACUUGUUGACUAUGAUUUGUCUUGUAGCUUACUCGCUUAUGUUAUUUUACCUACGCUUAGGAUGUUGAGCGCAUGUCUCUCUCU